rnacentral:misc_RNA from 1 species
UGUUCUCUGUACACGCGCGUCGCUGUCGGAUUGUCAUGUGCCUCCCAACACAACCACCUCUCACCACAACCACCCGUCUUCUUUCCGUCAGCUGAAGUACAGGUGGUACAUGCAACGCACAAGACAUACCCACACAUAGAGGCACCGUAUUGAAGCGAGAUCCCUUGUAGCUCAGAGGAGGCACUCGAUUCGCAGCGUCCCCGCCGGAGCUCACCCCCACCCACCCACCCCGAUCCCAUCCUCCGCAGCUCACAGCAUUUAAGCACAAGACCACAAGCCGAAAGCGGCCAAUCAUGUUGAGCCGGCACGGCACACGGCUAGACCUCGGCACUGCCGAAGACAUUGCCGAGCUCAACGCCGCCGAGUCACUUCUACGGGCCGCCUACAAGUCUUCCACUGUUGUGGGCAGCAGCAGCGGUGGGAGCCCCGGGAGCGGCGGUGGUGGCUACUACACGCGUGCAGCACCCGCUGCGCUCGGUCACCUUCAGGCCAGUGGAAACGACACUUACGGUGGUGCCCCGUCGGUCGGAUCAGGAGGCGCAGGCGGAGGUGCCUUCCAUGCCUCCCUGGCCACGGCCGCCACCGUGACCACUGACUUUGCCGGCCCGGUGGUUGGCGGAAUCGCCAGGAGUAGCGUCGGCAUGCCUUACGGCGCAGCGGCAGCAAGCGGUGCCGCUGCACCACCGCAUGUCAACCUUGGCUACACCGCCAGACAGCGCAGCAGCGCUCCCACCCAUGGUGGGAGCGCACCAACCCCAUCCUCUGUCAGUGGCUACCCGCAGCGAGUGCUUUAUGCUGACGUGCAUACCGGAACUGAAGAGGGGGGUCAUUCCGGCAGCACCAUGGGGAUGAGCAGCUCUGGCUCUGCGAUGCGGACACCAGGAGGUGGUGGUAGCGCGACCGGAGUGGCGCCGUCGUCGAGCAGCGGCAUGCGUGCAACGGCGCCGGCGUUCUACCGUCCCCAGGUGAGCAUUGAGAGCGACAUGUACCGCGCAGGCACGGCCGCUGCGAGUGGGGCGGAGGAAGGUGGGGGCCGUGAGGAAAUCGAAAAGGUGCCGGAGCCGGAAACCGACGUGGAGCGCGGUCGAUCCUCGAUGCGCGGCUUUUUCGCCCCUCCUGCGACGGCGACCACCCCCACCCCCACUGCUGACGCCGCCGCCGCUGUCGGCUCCCGUCUUACUCGUCCGCCGCAGUCUCAGCGAGCGCAUGGGUCGCCUUACAUAUACCAUGCCCCGCACGACUCAGCAGCGUCAGCCCACGCAGGAGCCAUGCGCGUAGGCCGAGUCAGGGGGGAAGGAGGGCGCGGGGACGACGAGGAGGACAGCGAAGAGGCUUCAGCGCGGCCAAGCAGAGUGUCGGGCCGCUAUCACUUCCCACGGACUGAUGCGCCUUGAGUAUUCAUCACCUCCUCUCGUCUCCCCCGACCCUCCCUCAAUAGCCGUCUUGGCCCCGCAAGUAUGCGCGUGCACAUGCGCGAGGGAGGCAUGAGCGAAGGAGGGCGACAGAAGAUGCGGUGAGUGGUGUUAGUAGUGGUGCUUGCUGCCCGGCACCCGUGUAUUGGGCCGGUCGUACCCCUCCCCAACCCAUAUCUGCUCCUCCCCCACGUGUAGCCACUAGUCGUUCAGGGGAGGGGCAGUGUACACACGAUAGACAGGGAGGAGGGGGAGGAGCAACGCACAUACACACACGCGCACACAGCUCAUGAACAUGCAUAUAUGUGCGCCAAUACGGGUGUUCCCAUCCGUGAGAGCUCCUGUGUCGGCUCCUCUCACUCGCUCGCCCUGUCGCCGUCGCCCAGCGUACGGGCGAUCCAUCUCCGCCUCCCUGCCACGGCGUGGGUGGGGAUGCGCCGGUGGAAACGCAGAAUG